UGGGGGAUAUUGCACAAUGGGGGGAACCCUGAUGCAGCGACGCCGCGUGGGUGAAGGAGCGUUUCGGCGCGUAAAGCCCUAUCGGCAGGGAAGAAGGAGGACGGUACCUGACUAAGAAGCCCCGGCUAACUACGUGCC
rnacentral:rRNA from 1 species